rnacentral:tRNA from 1 species
CAUCCUUUGGCCGAGUGGUUAGGCGGCGGUCUGCAAAACCGUACACGCCGGUUCGAGUCCGGCAUGGAUGUCUA